AUUGAACGCUGGCGGCAGGCCUAACACAUGCAAGUCGAGCGAGCGGCGGACGGGUGAGUAAUGUCUGGGAAACUGCCUGAUGGAGGGGGAUAAGAACGGGAAACGGUAGCUAAAACCGCAAACAAUCAAAGAUGCCAAUAUGGGCUUGGCGGUUGGGGGGGGUACCGGCUCACCUGGGCGACGAUCCCAAGCGGGUCUGAGAGGAUGACCAGCCACACUGGAACUGAGACACGGUCCAGACUCCUACGGGAGGCAGCAGUGGGGAAUAUUGCACAAUGGGCGCAAGCCUGAUGCAGCCAUGCCGCGUGUGUGAAGAAGGCCUUCGGGUUGUAAAGCACUUUCAGCGGGGAGGCGUUACCCGCAGAAGAAGCACCGGCUAACUCCGUGCCAGCAGCCGCGGUAAUAC
rnacentral:rRNA from 1 species